CUCUUAUCCAGAGAGGUGGAGGGACAGGCCCGAUGAAUCCUCGGCAACCAUCUGCAUGAAGCAGAAAGGUGCCAAUUCCUGCAGGACGCUGAGCGGUUCUGACAGAUGAGAG
rfam:Thermoactinomyces sp. Gus2-1 c16, whole genome shotgun sequence.